CUGCAAUGAUGUCUGAAUUUCUUCACCUGAAAAAAUUAUGUGGAUCUAAACAUGAGCUUUUUAACCCUGAGCAUU